rnacentral:rRNA from 1 species
UCUUGUCCACGUCCGUAGUAGUUUGAGAGGGAGGCUGCUGUAGCUAGGGGCAGAGGGCUAGAAGAGGAGGACUGAGGACGACAUCGACGGUCGGUACCGGAGGCUCUGACAACAGGAGUUCCACCGUUACAGGACGCCUCCAACGAGCCCCCGCCAAUUUUCCCACGAGUGGUUUUACCUUCCGCAGCUCUCGAAGCUGUAUCUGUACCUCGUCGUCUUCCACUGGCACUUCCCGUUGCAGUUCGGUCUUCUGCAAAAGGUCUGCCAGAGGUUCUGGCCCUUCUUCUGGCGGAAGACCCUCCGGCUUCGGUGAGGACAUGGCCUCCGAUGGGGCCGUCGGCUGCGGCACGGACGUGGACUCCGUUGGGGCCGUCGUCUGCGGCGCGGACGUGGCCUCCACUGGGGCCGGUUGUGGCAGCGAACUACUGGUGCGUGUCUACUACGGCGGCACUGGAAACUUUUGAGGUUCUAUAACAACAACUCUCUCAGUACCGCCAAACGUGCUACAAUGAAUGCUCAACUGAUGUUGCAUUACCUUAUUUGUUUCACACAUACUAGAUCUGUUUACUUGUGCAGCUGGUGUACUAAAUGUUAUCUAAAGUCAAGAUAAUUACAAGAUGUCGAGAAGGCAACUGCUUUCACAAGUCAUGUCGGCAGGUACAAUUUAAAUGUGUUUUUACUUUAAACAUCGUGUUUCUAUGUUACAACAUAAUUCCGGACGAAUGACGUUUUUUAACACCCUGUACAAUACAAACCGUGAACGAACUCUGACGAGCCCAAACCUCUUUAGCGUGUCUCAGCAGUUGUUGAUAGGGACGAUGGCACAUAGACGGCGGAAGAAGAUACCCGAACAUAAACGUCAGCUUGAAGCUGCGAUCGCACCUCGGGCACCUCAACACAGGCCUCUUUGCCCCCCGUGAUGGUUCAUGUUCCACCACCACACACGACACGCCCCUCGUGGUGAUGAGUGUCAGUACCUGACAGUCGUCCUAGUUCCGUUUUAUAGUUGAGCCGUUUUUCUACAACUGCUUCCGCUAGAAUACCUACUUCUCAAGCUAUCGCUCAGGCUGCGGAUCUCCUCAGGGUCAGUCAGGGCACGCUAGGACCUAAACCAGAGAACAUAAUAUAUGCGAAGGCGGUGGGUUUUAUUUUCAGGAGCUCGGAGUGAGGCUGCGAGCUACUCGACAUUCUAAAUCCUCAGGACAGUGGGUGAAGUGACACUGUAUAGGUGGUGGUGAAAAUAAUGCUCAGUCAUCAAUACGGUGGUAUGGGGAACACAGUAUAGGCGGAAAUACAUAUUAUAGCCGCACGAACAUUAUUUAACAACUCGUCGGAGGCGAGUUGGAACAUAAUAUAAAUCAUGAGGACCUAUAAAGACAUUAGU